rnacentral:rRNA from 1 species
CGGGUGAGUAACACGUAUCCAACCUGCCGUCUACUCUUGGACAGCCUUCUGAAAGGAAGAUUAAUACAAGAUGGCAUCAUGAGUCCGCAUGUUCACAUGAUUAAAGGUAUUCCGGUAGACGAUGGGGAUGCGUUCCAUUAGAUAGUAGGCGGGGUAACGGCCCACCUAGUCUUCGAUGGAUAGGGGUUCUGAGAGGAAGGUCCCCCACAUUGGAACUGAGACACGGUCCAAACUCCUACGGGAGGCAGCAGUGAGGAAUAUUGGUCAAUGGGCGAGAGCCUGAACCAGCCAAGUAGCGUGAAGGAUGACUGCCCUAUGGGUUGUAAACUUCUUUUAUAAAGGAAUAAAGUCGGGUAUGGAUACCCGUUUGCAUGUACUUUAUGAAUAAGGAUCGGCUAACUCCGUGCCAGCAGCCGCGGUAAUACGGAGGAUCCGAGCGUUAUCCGGAUUUAUUGGGUUUAAAGGGAGCGUAGAUGGAUGUUUAAGUCAGUUGUGAAAGUUUGCGGCUCAACCGUAAAAUUGCAGUUGAUACUGGAUAUCUUGAGUGCAGUUGAGGCAGGCGGAAUUCGUGGUGUAGCGGUGAAAUGCUUAGAUAUCACGAAGAACUCCGAUUGCGAAGGCAGCCUGCUAAGCUGCAACUGACAUUGAGGCUCGAAAGUGUGGGUAUCAAACAGGAUUAGAUACCCUGGUAGUCCACACGGUAAACGAUGAAUACUCGCUGUUUGCGAUAUACGGCAAGCGGCCAAGCGAAAGCGUUAAGUAUUCCACCUGGGGAGUACGCCGGCAACGGUGAAACUCAAAGGAAUUGACGGGGGCCCGCACAAGCGGAGGAACAUGUGGUUUAAUUCGAUGAUACGCGAGGAACCUUACCCGGGCUUAAAUUGCAGAUGAAUUACGGUGAAAGCCGUAAGCCGCAAGGCAUCUGUGAAGGUGCUGCAUGGUUGUCGUCAGCUCGUGCCGUGAGGUGUCGGCUUAAGUGCCAUAACGAGCGCAACCCUUGUUGUCAGUUACUAACAGGUUCCGCUGAGGACUCUGACAAGACUGCCAUCGUAAGAUGUGAGGAAGGUGGGGAUGACGUCAAAUCAGCACGGCCCUUACGUCCGGGGCUACACACGUGUUACAAUGGGGGGUACAGAGGGCCGCUACCACGCGAGUGGAUGCCAAUCCCAAAAACCUCUCUCAGUUCGGACUGGAGUCUGCAACCCGACUCCACGAAGCUGGAUUCGCUAGUAAUCGCGCAUCAGCCACGGCGCGGUGAAUACGAUCCCGGGCCUUGCACU